rnacentral:ncRNA from 1 species
AGCCGCCUUCCGUGGCUCGGCGGAUAAACGCAUGGGUGUCACAUAGUGACCGAUUGAGGUUGGCGGCCCGGUCUCGAACCCAGCCUGCGGCCCCGAAUACGGAGGACGGUUUUU